rnacentral:rRNA from 1 species
GUGUCAGCCGCCGCGGUAAGACGAAGGGGGCUAGCGUUGUUCGGAAUUACUGGGCGUAAAGCGCGUGUAGGCGGUUUGCCAAGUUGGGUGUGAAAGCCUUGGGCUUAACCCAAGAAAUGCACUCAGUACUGGCAGACUAGAGGACCGGAGAGGAUAGUGGAAUUCCCAGUGUAGUGGUGAAAUACGUAGAUAUUGGGAAGAACACCAGUGGCGAAGGCGGCUAUCUGGACGGUUUCUGACGCUAAGACGCGAAAGCGUGGGGAGCAAACAGGAUUAGAUACCCUGGUAGUCCACGCCGUAAACGAUGGGUGCUAGACGUUGGCGAGCUUGCUCGUCAGUGUCGCAGCUAACGCGUUAAGCACCCCGCCUGGGGAGUACGGCCGCAAGGUUGAAACUUAAAUGAAUUGGCGGGG